rnacentral:rRNA from 1 species
AUUGAACGCUGGCGGCAUGCCUUACACAUGCAAGUCGAACGGCAGCACGGGAGCAAUCCUGGUGGCGAGUGGCGAACGGGUGAGUAAUGUAUCGGAACGUGCCCAGUCGUGGGGGAUAACGUAGCGAAAGCUACGCUAAUACCGCAUACGAUCUAUGGAUGAAAGCGGGGGAUCGCAAGACCUCGCGCGAUUGGAGCGGCCGAUAUCAGAUUAGGUAGUUGGUGGGGUAAAGGCCCACCAAGCCUGCGAUCUGUAGCUGGUCUGAGAGGACGACCAGCCACACUGGAACUGAGACACGGUCCAGACUCCUACGGGAGGCAGCAGUGGGGAAUUUUGGACAAUGGGCGCAAGCCUGAUCCAGCAAUGCCGCGUGCAGGAUGAAGGCCUUCGGGUUGUAAACUGCUUUUGUACGGAACGAAACGGCUUUUUCUAAUACAGAGAGCUAAUGACGGUACCGUAAGAAUAAGCACCGGCUAACUACGUGCCAGCCGCCGCGGUAA